UAGAUAAUUGAUCACUUUACACGAAAAUAAUGCAUAGUACAUUUCAAAUGUCGUAUGUUUAGAAAAUACAAACAUUAAAGCCAAAAGAUAGCAACAAAAUAACGAAAAUCAUCACAACUAUAAAUAGGAUCCGCAAUUAUGUGUUAAGUAAUCUUUGACUGACAAUUUUUUUCUUAAGUGUGCGUCCUGUUUUUGGAACACGCACCAGGACCAUCUUUCGCAAAGUGGACAAAAUUGCUGGCACCGUAAAACAUCGGGUACUGUUUUGAUAAAAAGAAAAUCGCGAAUCUGCAAGUUAUCAAAUUAACAUAUGUUACGUAGAAAUGUUCAGUAAUUAUAACAAACUUUGCCACAAUAUCGAUCUCUAAAAUGAGGGCCUUGACUUUUCGCACGGAUUGUAGGACCCUGAAGUCACUAUCAACGACCCCUUAUAUAUAUGUACUUGAUGAGGCUUUUGCUUCUUCAGCUGGGUACUAUACAAAAGAAGAGAAACAUUUUUUUAAUGAGUGGUACUCUGAAAACUGUUUUCUGUGGCUAAUAUGCCACUUGUUAUUACUGUAUAAUAACUGUUACUUAUAUCGUAAGGUACGAUAUUGUUGUAAAAUUCGAGUGACAACAUUGUGUACGAUGGUUAUCAACCAUCGAGUAUGAGCCAGUUGUGGUCUUGAUAACACAAAAUUCUUGAAAAAGAAAGUAUGUAUCUCUUCCUGUCUCCCAGAAAGUGCCUUGAAGAUGUCUUGAAUAUUAUCAAAAUAUUCAAUUACCGCACCACCAAACGUAAAUGUUCCAGAAUAUUUUUUACAAUAGCAGAAGUUUUUAUGAUAUUGCAUUUUAGCCCUUUAGCAAUUUUUGAAUCAUAACAAACUGUAUAUAAUUUCAAUUCAUUCAAAUUAAUUUCGGAAGCCAUUCUAUGAUGAAUGGUAGAUUAUUCUCUGUCAGUAUGGCAGGUAAACAUAUUUUCACUAAAAUAAAUGUUUUCAUGUAUUAACAAAAAACUAUCAUGUUGACAAAUAUUGUACUUCAUACUCUAUGGUUACCCUCUUUAAAUUCUUCUUUUUGCGUAAUGGCUGGUGUACCCGAUUUUACAAAUGAUAAAAUACUUUUUUGUUUAACAAGUCGUGUUAAAAGUCCUAAUACACUUUUUAUGUUAAUUUGUUUAUCGCACGAUUUGCACAAAGCAGCCCAAACCAGACAAAAGGACUGGUCUUUUUAACUUUUUUCCAACCAACCUUUAAAUGGUAGUAUUCUUUCACAUUCCUAUUUGUAUUUUUGGUCAUAUUUAAUUUUUUUUACUAUAGGUCGAUUUUCGUAAUCACUCGACGAUAAGCAUUGGUAAUCAGUAAGGCACGGAACUUUUGUAACAGAAGGAUACGAUUUCCCCCCUUGACUUGUUCUCAGUGGCUUCCUAGAAAACAAACCCAGAAAACUAGCCAAUGAGAACAAGUGGAGGUGGGAAAUCGUAUCGUUUUCUUACAAAAGUUCUGUGCCCUAGUAAUCAGUCUAAUUUGUUUUGACUACGUUGAAUGAUCAAUUGAUUAGAUGUCUUAGUACAGCCCACAGCGAGUCCAGAUAGGUUAAAUUAUGAACUGUUAAACUAGUCUUAUUGAUCGCAGAUGUUGAGAGAAUCUACCAAUUAAUUAGUAUAUUUGUAUAGUUUUGAGUCUGAUCUACUCAGUUGACUAUUUAAUUUUAUGCUUCCAGUUCAUCUUUAUCUUAGUCUGCUAUCAAGGUAGAGACGAUGAUGAACAUGCUGUAUGGUAAGGUAUAUCUAAUAUCUUUGGAUACUAUCAUCUACCCACUGGCUUUUACUAUUAUCCGACAUAGUUUGAAGCAAAAAUCGGCAAAAAUGUUAUUUUUAUAUAGUUUUCAAAUUAUAUUUUGUACGGUUGAAAUACACUAGAUGUAUGUACUCAUAGAUUGUGUGCAUUUUUAAUCGGCUUAACAUGAAGAGUUGCUCAUUUGAAUUCACGAGUUGUUUUUUUUCUCUAUCUGUUUCCUGAUUAAAUUAUUUAAUUUUUUGUUUCGUUAGAUUGCUUACUCGGUUAAAUUUUCUUUUAUCUGCAAAAUUUCUGGAGUUAUGUCGUAUUCUUCUUGCUUCUUGCUUUUUUAUAACUUAACGUAAUUAACUUCAUAUUAUGUUUUCUUUUGCUACAGGGAGUAGCCUCCUUUAUACUACUCGAAUUUAUUGUAUCAGAUUUUGCGCCUGCGCUUCAAGAUCAUCUUCAUUUUUAAUCUUGCGUUUAAACCAAUUACGUUUUUUAGCCUUACUUUGAACUUGUCCGAAUCACUAUAUUUGUUAGUAAGAUUUUCUUUUAUUGCUUUUUUGAUGACUGUCGCACUAAUGGUUAAUAAAACUGGGACGUGUAAACAUGCCAAUUCACAUUUUGAGUAUUGCUUUGACUUGUUGAGAUGCUCUUAGAGAUGAAGAAGUCCAGCAGGUCUGGCACUUUAUUGUUGUCGGUGGGCCAAUAAGUGGACUCACCACCUGAAUGAUAAGUGAGCAGUUACGGUAUUAAUAUCAUUCAGCAAUUUAAGGCAGUGAAUACCAGGCGUUAUCAACCCAAUACGGUGAGUUUAACAUUGAAGUUUUCUUCAAUUAUGGACCUUGAACCUAAUUUUGCAAACAAUUCUUUGCAUUGUUAUUUCGUCAAGUCAAUUUUUUUCGGCGCUAUUGCUCAUGGUGGCUAGCAUUUCAUACUUUCUUUUGUCCUAUAUAUAUGUAAUACUCCUUUGGAAGUAUUGCAUAUUAUAUUUUAUGAUUACGGUUGUACCUCCUCGAGUAUUUUCAGUCGAAAAGUCGAGGUGAAAAGAAAGUGCUCUAGUUCAUACGUAAUUUUUACCUUUGGCACUCGUUUUGGAACGACUACGAAAUUUAAUCUCUUCGCUAGUACUGUUGGUUCUGAAAAUAUUCACAAACUAAGACCAACAAUGGAUAACUCAACCAUGAACAUCCUAAAAGAGGUACUCCAAAAGAAUGAUACUACGUCGAAGGACAUCCGACGGGCGAACAAGGAGAUGCAGCUACAGACAAUAGAUAUGGUAAGUAGUCAAUCUGUGGGUUUCUUCGCAUUGUUUCAGAUUUAAAGAAACUGAUAGCCACGCGACUAAAAAUUGACUACACUGUAGUGAGACAUGGGAGAGUCAAGAAGUUGCGAAACGCAUUCCCGAAAGCAAAGGACAAACUUCCUCCGUGAAUGGGACCAAGAGUCUAAUGAUUGUCGUGCAAAUGUGGAAACACUGCAUAAGAUUAUUAUAUAUAAGAAAAUUAUAUACAAAAAUAGUUGAAAAAAAUGCUUUCUAGUCCACACCGAACUGAGAGAAAGAAAACGAGGAUGAGUAAGUUUUUUAAAGAAUCAAUAGGGAAGUUGAUGGCAGCAUUGUGGGAUAGCGAUUUUAGACGGAAAUGGAUUGGAGGGAUCUCGGUAAGAUUGUAUAGGAGUUCGUUGCUGGGAUUGAAGAGUGGGUUUUGGGGAUGUCGGAUUCGUGUAAUGCAUCUAAGGGCAGAUCUUUCGGCUACUUCUAGAUGGUAUAGGGCUCCUCUAGAUGCGUCAGCGAAGAUCAGCGGUGUAUAUUCCACUAUCGGUCCGCAGAUGGUUUUGUAAAUAUGAGCGGCGCAUUUUGUUGAUAUCCAAUCAUUUUCCAGGUUCUUUGCAAGAUUUUUCAAUGCUUCUACACCAAGUGGAAUUUAACAACUUUCCUAGCAGCCAGGACUGGCAGAUAGCUGACCAGGUUGUACGGAAUGAGUUGGUAGAGUGGGCCGUUGGCAGUUUUGAGCCCUUCAAAACACCAGGACCCGACGGUAUAUUUCCUGCUCUUCUUCAAUGAAGUCUAGAGGAUAUGAAAAUACACUUGAUGAGAGUUUUUAAAGCCUGCUUAGCCUUUAAUUACGUUUCCAUCAGCUGGAGGAAGGUUACAGUAACCUUUAUACCAAAGAAUGUGAAAAAGGACCCACCGGAUCCUAAAGCCUUUCGACCAAUUAGUCUCUCAUCAUUUCUUUUAAAGUCGCUUAAAAGACUAUUUGAACAUUACAUUAGAGAGAAUGUACUUAAAGCGUUUUCUUUGCACUUGCACCAACAUGCUUAUAUCAAAGGUAAAUCUGUGGAUAGCACCCUACACAAUGGUAGUGGGGCGCAUCGAACAAGCAGUUGAUUCAAAAGAGUCCAUUCUGGGAACUUUCCUUGACAUAGAGGGAGCGUUUGACAAAACCACCUUUAGUAGCAUUAACCUGGCACUGGAAUCUCGAAGAGUGCCAUUGGACAUCGUGGGCUGGAUAAAAACAAUGUUAGCAAACAGAGUUGUUCAGGCUAAGGCGAAAGGACACACAGUACAGAGAGCUGUAGUUAAGGGUACUUUCAUCGCUUCUCUGGUGCUUAAUAGUUGAUGAUCUCAUUCGUGAGUUAAAUAAUAAAUAUCUCUUCACAGUUGGUUACGCCGACGACGUGGCUAUCUUGUUAAGAGGUAAACCUGACAAUUUUCUUUGUUACAGAAUGCAGCAGGCGCUUAAACUUGUUGAACGAUGGUGUGAAGAACAUACCCUCUCUGUCAAUCCUGAAAAGACAGAGACUGUUCUCUUCGCUAAAUAGAAGAAACUGGGACACUUAACGCCACCAUGGAACCAUGGAACAUUGAAACAUGCAUAUAAAGCUACAUUGCUGCAUCAUUUGCAACGGCUGGCCCGCCUGCUAAUGACAGGCGCUAUAAGAUCUACACCUACGAUUGCAAUGGUGACUAUGUUGAACGUGCUGUCCCUAGAUAUUUUUAUCAGGGAGGUGGGCGUGAUGGCAUUGUUUCGUCUGCGAUCAGUAAAUGACUAGCUGGUUGUUAAAAUGGGAAUAGUCCGGAGCAAGCUCUGAAGUGAGGCUGUUAGUAAACAACCCCUCCUUAAAGGUCGCACAGACUACAUUACACCACUGCAUAAGAUUAUUAUACAUAAGAAAAUUAUAUACACAAAUAGUAGAAAAAAAUACUUUCCAGGCUACCACCAGAGGAUCAGCGUGGCCAUAUAAACAUAUCAUGAAUGAUCCCCUAGUUCACACCGAACUGAGAGAGAGAAAACGAGGAUGACGAUUUUAGACGGAAAUGGAUUGGAGGGAUCUCGGUAAGAUUGUAGAGGAGUUUGUUGCUGGGAUUGAAGAGUGGGUUUUGGGGAGUCGGAUCUUUCGGCUACUUCUAGAUGGUAUAGAUGCGUCAGCGAGGAUCAGCGGUGCAUAUUCCACUAUCGGUCCGCAGAUGGUUUUGCAAAUAUGAGCGGCGCAUUUUGUUGAUAUGCCGCGUCCCUGAUAUGUUAACGAUCUGAAGUGCUUUGCUCGAAUUGUCGCUUUCAUCUUUACCUUGAUAGCAUGGUCGGAAAAUUUCAAUCUUGUCUAUCGAGAUUCCCAGGUAUUUACAGCUUGUUGAGGGGGAUAUGAUCGUGGAUUGGAUGGUUACGGAGGGAGAAGGAGCAGGGAUGGGAAGAAAUGGGAUGAAAAAUUGGGUUUUGGAUGGGUUAACUUGGAUUGUUCAUUUUUCCAGCGAACUCUCCGUGGAUUGGAUUAGCGCCUGAAGCCUUUGGAUUGCGGAUGUGAUAUUUGCGCCGUGUGUCACCAAAGUGGUGUCGUCAGCGUAGAGCAGGGAGUAUGAGUCCAAGUCAAAGGUAUCUGGGUUUGGAUUGUAGAUGUCGCAAUAAAACAAGUUAUAGAGAACAUCGAACUGAUUUUAUUAGAUUUGAACUUGUUUCUGAAGAAGGUUGCACCAUACGAAACUUACUAGAUUUAAUUUUGUUUGUACUAAUACCGGCCGUGAAUAAAUACAAGCUUAUAUGAAUACGCUUGUUUUCAAUCCAGUGAAGAAAUGUCAAAAUCAAUCUUUAAAAAUUCAUUCAGACCUUAUUUAUGGGAAUAAAGAAACGAUUUGUAUUAUGAAUUUAUAACUUCUUAAUUCAUAACUUAAGAAGAUACGUAUUUUUAAAAAUUAUGCUGUAAUAAGAAAUAUUCAUUUCAAACAUGUAGUUUAGUAUAUCGCAGUACGUGCAGUGUGUUUAUUGUAUUUUCUUAUGAAAAUAAUUUAAAGUAUACACCAAUAACCUUGCAACACAACGUUUUCAAAAAAACUAUCCCAAAAUAUCUCAUAAUGAAAAUGUGAUGUAAGUAGGUACAUAGAGAAAAGAAACCAACUUAUAAUUUAUUUCUUUUGUAUAGAAGGCUAAGCGAAAGGAAAUUAAAGAGUUGAAUGUUUCCCUUAGUUGGUUUUAUAAAUAAAAUUCAAUCAGAUACGGCAGACAAAUUAUUCAAUUUGAAAUUAAUUUGACACACCUUUUUGUCUUGCGUGGUGAACUUAGUUUUUACUGGAUCGAUACACUGAAUGAGAAAGGUCUUUCUCCGAAUACAGCGUGUUUAGAAAUUCGGUGGCAAACAACCAUCGAUCCUCGAACGUUUUAGCCACCCAACUAUAUAUACAUUCCCCACUCUUCUUCGGUCCGAGUAAAACCGUUCUGUUCGGUCGGGUCUGCCUCGUCUCUUCCAGACUACCUAAAUUGUUUUGUAGCGUUGCUGUAGACGUAGUGCCAUCAAACACGUGCGGCGGUUUAACGAUUUUCCUGCAAUUUCAUUUAAUAUUACGUACAAUGUACCAACAUUUUGAUUAAAUCGUUAGUUAUGUGCGUAUCGAGGUCGUCAAGAAGGAAAGGUUAAGAAUUAUUGUAUCAUGGUAAAUACAUCGUCUUCAUCCCUAAAAGAUUCGAUUAGAUAAUAUGCGUAAACAUAAAUGCGGGAUAGUAUACGGAUCCACACAAUGCCUUUAUCGAAAAGCUUUAUUGUUACUUCUUAUCUUCAUUCUGGUUAUGCUAUGCACAAUUUUUGGAAUUGCAAUUUUCCUGAACGAUACGAAUGGAGAUCAAACCAAUUUAGAGUUUGGAGUCCCAGAAUUUUUAGUCAACACCAAUGAGUGUAAAAUUCCUAACGUCAUACCAUGGAAUUCAGAAUUUAAACCAUUUUAUGAGAAGAAAACUCCCUAUAGGUGCAGCGAUAAAAAAGAAAUGUUAACCAGUAUUAUAUAUGAAGGUGAUCAAGCGUUUCUGUAUAUUAAUAAAUCUGUGGUGCACCUUUACAGUUGGUACUCAAACAAUAUUCAUUGUUGUUAUCAGACAGUUAGAAGAAAAACGAAGGAUGUAGCUGAUAUUGAAAUUACUUAUUCAAACUGUC